rnacentral:lncRNA from 1 species
UAAUGGCACAAUCAUUAUUUUAAUUAUGUUUUUUUUUUCACCUUAGAAAGCGCUGUCCAUUUCAAUUGUGUUAGGCUUUGAAACAGCAUCCACAAUGACCAUGUUUUCCACUCAGUUUCAACCCAUUGUUGAACUUCUUUCUUCUGAUUGAUCAAUCACACUGAGUUCUGACAGUGCUUUGCAAGACAAAGGAGCUGGUCGUGGACUACAGGAAAAGGCGGGCCGAACAGGUCCCCAUUAACAUCAACUGGGCUGUAGUAGAGAGGGUCGAGAGUUUCAAGUUCCUCUGUGUCCACAUCACCAACGAACUAUCAUGGUCCAACCACACCAAGACAGUCGUGAAGAGGGCACGACAACACCUUUUCCCCCUCAGGAGACUGAAAAGAUUUGGCAUGGGUCCCCAGAUCCUCAAAAAGUUCUACAGCUGCAACAUCGAGAGCAUCCUGACCGGUUGCAUCACUACCUGGUAUGGCAACUGCUCGGCAUCUGACUGUAAAGCGCUACAGAGCGUAAUGCAUACGGCCCAAUACAUCACUGGGGCCAAGUCAAAGACUCCAGUCACCCAAGUCAUAGAAUGUUCUCUCUGUUACCACACGGCAAGCGGUACCGGCUUCUAGGACCAAAAGGCUGAACAAUUAAUAAAAUGGCCACCCAGGCUUUUAACAUUGACACCCCCCAUUUGAUUUUACACUGCUGCUAUUCAGUGUUUAUUAUCUAUGCAUAGUCACAUUACCCCUACCUACAUGUACAAAUGACCUCGACUAACCUGUACCCCCGCACAUUGACUCCCUGUAUGUAGCCUCGUUAUUGUAAUUUUAUUGUGUUACUUUAUAUAACUUAACUCUUUUAACUCUUUCUUGAACUAAAUUGUUGGUUAAGGGCUUGUAAGUAAGCAUUUCACGGUAAGGUCUACACCUGUUGUAUACGGCGCAUGUGACAAAUAAAGUUUGAUUUUAUAUAACCAUAACUCAACAUAAACAUAACCAUUACUCAACGUAACAUAAUAUCACACACUUACCAUGUACUGAAGUAUAAUAGUCAAACAUUAAACAAAAACAUGACGUACAUAUACUCAGUGGCCAGUUUAUUAGAAAAACACUCAUCUACUACCAGGUCGGAACACCCUUUGCCUCCAGAACAGCCUGAAUUGUUUGGGCCAUGGACUCAUGCUGCUUAUGCCAAAUUUCGACUCUGCCAUCAACAUGACCCAACAAUAAC